rnacentral:lncRNA from 1 species
CUUGUUUAUUAGUUGGAGUGGAUUUCGCUGGAUUAUUAGCCAUGGAUGCCCGGAAUUCUGUUCUAGAUUUUGCCAAAGCUUUGGAGCUGCAAACAGUUUAUCAUCCAUGGAAGCGCUUGUUCUGGUAACUUAUGAGUAAGAGGAAUGAAAAGCAGAGGAGAUUUGGAUUAGGUGGAGUUUAUAUAGGUGGAGUUGGGAGGAGAUGAAGAGUAUGGAUGACAAAAUGGAGUUGAAGCUGUUAAUAGCUUCGAUGGUGGUAGAUGACGGUACGCAAUCCAUUUAAGUCUCCUGCUGUUAGAGUUUGCUUUAGAUAAAAGAAAGUGGAAUGAAAGGUUACCGCUGAAUGGGAGACUCUAAUCGACAUGUUAACCUAACCAAAAUGUUCUUGGGUUUAUAAUGUGACCAAAACGUAAAUUCUUGGGUUUAGAAUGUGACGUGGCAAACAAAAGGCUUUUCAUUGGUCGAUUUAUUAAUUCUACGUGGACAGGCUGAGAGUUGAGCAUUUUCAACUUUUAGUAUUGUAAGAUGAACCACUAUUUAUUUCAGCUCCGUUCGAAACCUUAAUCAGUAACUUCGGUUGUAGUUCUCGGUAUCUAUAUUAUUAAAACUGAAUU